rnacentral:misc_RNA from 1 species
GUAUUUAAUGCGUUUUAUAGCAAAGGUUACAUUCUAAACUUUAUGUGUGUAUAAAAAACGUAGUGUCUUCCCGCCAGACAGUAUAUCCGGCCGUGAAGCCUUCCAAACCAUCCAUUAAAAAAAAACAACUACAGAAGUGCACAGGGGUGAGUGGAUGAGCAUUGAGCGUGCACAUGCCCUAGAGGACCAGCGACAACCCAAGCCAGACUCGAUAAUGAUCCUUCCGCAGGUUCACCUACGGAAA